AUAUUUCUAGGUAAUUACCUUCUUAAUAUCUUCAAUAUUAUGCUUUAAUAUAAGCUAUUAAAAUA
rnacentral:tRNA from 1 species